ACUCCUACGGGAGGCAGCAGUGGGGAAUCUUGGACAAUGGGGGAAACCCUGAUCCAGCGACGCCGCGUGGGUGAUGAAGGCCUUCGGGUCGUAAAGCCCUGUCGGGGGGGAAGAAACUCCUGCCGGUGAACAACCGGCGAGACUGACGGUACCCCCUAAGGAAGCACCGGCUAACUCCGUGCCAGCAGCCGCGGUAAGACGGAGGGUGCAAGCGUUGUUCGGAAUUACUGGGCGUAAAGGGCGCGUAGGCGGUCUGUUAAGUUCGGUGUGAAAUCCCCCGGCUCACCUGGGGAACUGCGCCGGAAACCGACAGACUCGAGUACCGGAGAGGAGGGUGGAAUUCCUGGUGUAGCGGUGAAAUGCGUAGAGAUC
rnacentral:rRNA from 1 species